CACCUUGAUUUUGGACUUCUAGCCUCCAAAACUGUGAGACAACACAUUUCUGCUGUUUUAAGCCA
rnacentral:miRNA from 1 species